CCAUACACACAUUCAAAUGCCUUUGUCUAAAACCUAAAUCAUCAUAGUAAUACUAAAUAAUAACAAAAUGGCCUAUUUUUUGAGGUCGCAACCGCCCCACCAGAUACAUUGAAUUCUCAACAUACAAAGGUCAUGACAUCUACCUAGGGUUUACGAAUUCACAUGGAACUUAAAUGGAAUUCAGAUUGAAGGAAACUCUAUAAAUUGGCGACCUAGGUCUCAUUACUUCAUUGUAGGCUAAUUUUCAGUGGGUUUGGUCGCGGCUGAGGCGUGCCUUGAAAUGGAAAUAGGUUAAUCGGUGGUAACGGGUAUGAGGUCAGAAGUAUGCGAGCUGGAGGUAACAGAUGUGCUGUGGAAGGAGGGCUUUUGGUAUAGGAGUAUUGGACAAACUCUGCAUUUGAAGGUUUUAAUGAGUUUUUCCAAUACCUCCUAUACCUAUUGUCUUCACCACUCAUCUCUUACUACAGCUUGCGCGUUUAUGACUUAAUCUAAAAUAUUCACAAUUUUUGCCUGAUUCAACUUAGUCUGCCUUUGAGGCUUCUUUCACAAGUACCAAACACUGGACAUGACCCAUUACAAACGUUGUAUCUCAAAAGGCUGUUCGCCACAUUUUGAAAUGAAUGCGAUAACUUAAAAGGCCCCAUCCUCGAUUUCAGUUUAAGGUCCUCAUCUUGGUUUGACAUUUGGUAGGAUGGAAUUAUAAAAAGCAACUUUUUGUACUACUGCAAGAAUGAAUUCUCUAUUCAAAAUAAGGAUUUGACCACAUUUUACAAAUAAUGUGAUAACAUCAGUCUUGGUCCUUCGGUUUGAGCUUCAAGUUCGUGUGCAAACGCUACCAUCUCUUAAGUGAAUCAAGAUAAUGUUGGCGUCCGAAAUCGGGAAAGACUAUCUUAAAUAUUGUUUACGUGUAUUGUAGACAUAAAUUCUGAUUGAUUAUUAUCUCUAAAGAUUUGGAGGCGUGUAUUGUAGACAUAAAUUCUGAUUGAUUAUAUCUCUAAAGAUUUGGAGGCGUGUUGAUUUGAAUGAAAGAUGUGAUCAUUUUUUGUGUUUUGGUUCCUGUCAUGACUAGGCACAGCUCAGGCCUCAGACGCAUGAAGAAUGUUGCAUGCUAACUAAUGUUAAUUUAUGUUUUUCUUUAUUGAACAAAGAUUUAUAUGAGCUUUGAUGGUUUGUUAUGUCAAGGUAGAAAAUGUAUUAUGAGUUUCUUUGUUAGAUGGAUGGUAAGUGGCUGAGAUCUUAUUACAUUCAGAUUCAGAUUUCUUCCACCAUUUUCAAUGGAGGAACUGCAAGAACACACAUGUAAAACUGAAUUGAAAGCAAAUUAACAUGCACAUGCAUCUUAACAAGGAUUUGCUUCCAUUGUUAUCCUACCAAAUCAAGAUCUUGUGUUUACAAUAGGGGUGCACUUAGAAGCACAUGCACAAGAAGUUAUGAUGGACGGAUGAUUCGAAAACAAGAUACAAAUGAAAGCUAUGAGAAUCAAUGAGAGAAGGCGUCUUCGAAUCAAUGAGAAAAUGCACUAAAAUGCAAGAAAAAGAUUUUAGUAUGCAAGUAGACAAAACAACAUUACGACCUGACCUCUAGAUUACGAGAAAACAAGAGGCAUAAAUGAGGGGCAAAUGUAUUUAUAGGUAUCCUCAUGAAGGAAGUCCAUCGUAGGAGCAAUGUGGGAUUAGAGAAGUAGUUAUGGCUGAAUAUUUGUCCCACAUUCAUAUUAGGGAUGGAAAUAGAUUUAUGACAGAGAGAAUUUUAAUGAUUUAAGAGAAUAAAAUGAUUUAAUAGAAAAAAUAAUUAAUGAGUUUAAUUAAAUAGACAAUGAUAUCCAUAGAAGAAUUAUUAUUAAUAUAUGAGGACAAAGGAUGAAAAAUUUAUGUGUCUACAUUCUUGUUCUGCUAAACAUUAUCAUAUUUUGCAAAUUCUUCUAAUACACUGUUUUUUUUGUUGGGUGAGUUUUUGCAAGUUUAACUUGUGAGCUUUUACAGACAGGAAAAAUGUGGGUAAAAAUGCCGAUAUAGGUAAAGUGCUGGUUAAAGUACAUUUUUUUACACAUUGUUUUUGGUAUAAACCUUGUAUUUUCUCUUUGAGACGUCAAUUUUGAAUUUAAUACAUUUUUUAAUUGAUUGUUGCAAAAAAAAUAUGUUUCUUAUUUUUUAGUUUGUUGAGUUUUUGUGAAGUCUGCAACUAUGCAUUAUUCUAUGUGAAUUUUUUUGAUUGUCCUUGGUAUGAAUGCAAAACAUCAUAUUUCUCACAAAAGUGCAGUUUUUUUAAUUCAGAUAGACCAUAAGAGAAAUGGAGGAUUCAACUUCCAAUAGUGAUAGUACUUAGUGAUAAUGAUUCCUUUAUUUAAAUUAUUUACGUUAUGUCUCAUGGAAGAAUGUUUGUAAUUAUAUAUAUUCACGUUCCUUCUCUCCCAGGACCAUCACAGGGAAAACAAUAAUCAAGAUGCACUCGAUAAAAAAUCGAACAGGAGAUAUGAGCAAAUAAGAUACCUUUGAGUAUUGGAUAUAUAUCUGCCUGAGAUCAUAUCUAGCUAUUUGGAUACAUAUUUGAUAGAUUAAUGGGUGGUAUUCACGAGGCUCUCCCUCACCCAAAUCAAGGCAAACACACCAUUGCAAAGAAUGCAUUUACAAGCACCCAAAGCCCAUGCGAGAAGCACCCAGGCCCAUCCCUAGGGAAACAAUCUAGGGAAACAAUUGAUAAAGUCUGUCUCACCUUUCUUUCUUCAAAUAACAGUAGCACUAAAACAAAAUUGUGUACUUCCCUCCGAAAAGCGUAAAUUCUAUCGAAACUACGGCAGCAGUCAACUUGUGGGUAAGACAAAAAGAACGACACCGAAGUAAUUCCUGCCGAAAUGUUGAAAUGAGUUUGCUUCUCUCAAAACCAUAUUUCUUGGAAUAGUUUAGACGAAUGGUUACAAAUGGAAGACUCGAGAUAUUUAAAAAAGCAUUACGACACAUCUGCAACUUGUUCCAGGGGAUAUUUUUAAAACCCAAAAUCAAUUGGCAGGGAAUCACCUAGCACUCUUAACUCCAAUCAUUUUGAUGUAAACUCUAAAUUCCUUCUGUAACCUCUGCAAUGCAAGGGCAGUUUUCCAAUGUACACACCACGCACUCACAAAUACCACAAACACCAAUCUGCUUUUAAUUAUUUUGGAGUGCUGAUUUAGUGCCAAGUUUGCCACUGUUCGAGAUGAUGCUGCCAAUGAAAGAUGAACUGGUUUUACGGUUGCAGUUGCAAUUCCUAAAUCGUUUGAUCAUUGGCAAUAUGUAUUUUGCACACACAGCAGUGAUUAUAGUAUUAUAGAGUGCAUCCUUUUGUAAUUCUUGCUCCAUCUAUGUGCAUGUUUGCAAAACUCAGAUUCAUGGCAUAAGAUGAACACGUUGAAUCAUAAAUAAGGUCCGAAACCCCCAUCAAGGGAGCAAGGAUACAAGCUACAAUUUUCAUGAUGUCUGUGAGUGUGAUGUUAUUGGGACUGAAACUCUCAUGGAACAUGCAUCCUCCACAGAUGGUAAUGCUGCAUCAUGCAAAAUACUUGAGCUUCAUAGUGAUGGUGACAUUUUAUUUCUUUACAAUGUAGAAUUUUUUUCCAGUUUUCUUUUUAGAAAAGCAUAUUGCAAACUCUUUUCAAUAAAUUAAUUGUAAAUGUUUCUAGUAUAUUAUCUAAUUUUUGACUUCUACGAGCCUUUUGAAAUUUAGUUGGACAUAUGGAAAACGCUGCGAUCUAGAUAUCUUGGGAUUAUCUGAACAUUAAUCUUGGGAUUAUUUGAAAAUUAUAUGCAAAUUUUUUUUCACAGAUCAAGCAUUUUCACCAUACCAAGAUCCGGUGUCAGUGGACGACCCAAGAGGACUUAAUCUGUGAUUAUGGUCGUUGCCUGUUUUAUUGCUGCUAUUCUUGCAGCCUAUAACAAGAGGCUGAAGAAAAUAGACCUCGUUGAAAUUAUUUCAUUGAAAAAUGCUUCGUUGGAAACUUUUGACUACAAGAAACGUCUGCAGUUGUGCGCGUUUAGGCAGUAUUGGGUCCUCUCAUUUUCACCUGUAGAAGAUUGAAAUUUUUUCAUUGAAAAAUGCUUCGUUGGAAACCCUGGCUACAAGAAAUAUCUGCAGUUGUGCGAGUUUAGGCAGUAUUGGGUCCUCUCAUUUUCACCUGUAGAAGAUUGAAAUUUUUUCAUUGAAAAAUGCUUCGUUGGAAACCCUGGCUACAAGAAAUAUCUGCAGUUGUGCGAGUUUAGGCAGUAUUGGGUCCUCUCAUUUUCACCUGUAGAAGAUUGAAAUUUUUUCAUUGAAAAAUGCUUCGUUGGAAACCCUGGCUACAAGAAAUAUCUGCAGUUGUGCGAGUUUAGCCAGUAUUGGGUCCUCUCAUUUUCACCUGUAGAAGUGACCCUACAAUCAAUGAUUUCCUCCUACCUGCCACUUUCAAUGAACGUUGAGAAAGCAAAGAUGAUAAAGAGGAGGAUUAGGCGUCGUGCAAAUGGUGAUUCACCCUCACUCUUGGACACCAAUUGUAGGCUACGAGCAGUAGGAAUUGAAGAAAGUAGAUUGAAAUCUAUUGUAACUCCAAUUUUCACAGGCAAAGGAAAAUUACGGGAAGGGUAAAGCCAUGGAAUCAACAGUGCUCAUAAAAUGGUCUAAUAUAAACGUAAUUUUGGUGUUCGGUGCUUUUUGCUGUGUUUGUAUCUUCGUGGAACGAGCAGAAUGAUAUUAAUAUGCGGGCCUUGUACAGUCUGGCUGAGCCGUCCUUCGCAUCCUGCACUGUGUCAAUCUUAUGAGAAAGUAAGGAUGAAAAUCAUGUUUCUGUUUUAGCAAGGGACGAGGGUUGGUGGACCACAAGUAUGGCAGAUAUGCUAAAUGGAGGGUCAAUAGCUCUACGGGGCUCUCUUAGAUGAUAUUGCUAGUCACUUCCCUGAUUUGUUUCUCCGCAUGCCUAGUUUCUCAAAAUUUGAAGAAUUUGAAGAAAAUUAUAUCUCGAGUGUAUCUGCACAUUUGUGCGACGAAAUCGUAGGCAAUUAUGCAUCAAUCGUAGACAUAUCUGGAUAGUGAACUAAUCAGUUCCAACUAAAUCUCAAGUUAAAAGAAAUCCCCAUUUAGAGAAACAAUCUCCUAUAUUUGCCUAGAUAGCUAACAACUAUCACCUUUGUCUGCACUGUACAGACAUUUCAGUAUGUCCACCAUUACAUUGAGGUUUUGAGGUCGAUGCUGCUUUCAUACAAAAGCAUGAAUCUCUUAUGUAAAAGUGUCUUCGAAAUCUCAAGAUGCCUACUACAGAGAGAGACUUGACUCAUUCUCAGCUUGGAUAGUCAUUGUUUCUGUUGUCAAUUGCACUGUUGAACAUGUAUUCAAUGAUCUGUAAUAUGUUGUGAUCUA